GACGAACGCUGGCGGCGUGCUUAACACAUGCAAGUCGAACGAUGAAGCCCAGCUUGCUGGGUGGAUUAGUGGCGAACGGGUGAGUAACACGUGAGUAACCUGCCCCUGACUCUGGGAUAAGCGUUGGAAACGACGUCUAAUACUGGAUAUGACUACUGGUCGCAUGGCCUGGUGGUGGAAAGAUUUUUUGGUUGGGGAUGGACUCGCGGCCUAUCAGCUUGUUGGUGAGGUAAUGGCUCACCAAGGCGACGACGGGUAGCCGGCCUGAGAGGGUGACCGGCCACACUGGGACUGAGACACGGCCCAGACUCCUACGGGAGGCAGCAGUGGGGAAUAUUGCACAAUGGGCGAAAGCCUGAUGCAGCAACGCCGCGUGAGGGAUGACGGCCUUCGGGUUGUAAACCUCUUUUAGUAGGGAAGAAGCGAAAGUGGCGGUACCUGCAGAAAAAGCACCGGCUAACUACGUGCCAGCAGCCGCCGUAA
rnacentral:rRNA from 1 species